GGAAUAAAAGUCGUAACAAGGUUUCCGUAGGUGAACCUGCGGAAGGAUCAUUAAUGAGUUGUCAUGGGGUUCGAUGCUGGCAGCCAGUUUUUGGAUGCAUGUGCUUGCCCUAACAAUCAUCUUCUUCCAAACACCUGUGCACAUUUUUGAGGGAGUCUUGAGUUGGCUGCCGCUCUUGGGUGAUUUUCUCACAUUCCCUUAAAUCAUUAUACGCUAUUAACAAUGUUGAACGUGCUCUGUGCCGCAAGGCCAUUAAUAUAAUACAACUUUUAACAACGGAUCUCUUGGCUCUC
rnacentral:misc_RNA from 1 species